UUUUAGUGACAAACAAAAAUCGCUUAUCGAUGCUAUGCUCAAAGAAAAUGAAGAACUAUCUAAUUUAUUAAAUGAAUCAGAAGUUCAAAAUAUGUUCUCAUCCAUUAAACAUUGCCAUGGGCAGCUGGUUGAAUUAAAAAAAAAACUCAUGUUUUUACA